AUUUCAAGGGGUGCCUGCGGUCGCAGGCUGAGAUGAUACCCUCUAACCUGAUCCGGAUCAUGCCGGCGUAGGGAUGGAA
rnacentral:ncRNA from 1 species